AACGAACGCUGGCGGCAGGCCUAACACAUGCAAGUCGAGCGAACCCUUCGGGGUUAGCGGCGGACGGGUUAGUAACGCGUGGGAAUAUACCCUUUGGUACGGAAUAGCCUCGGGAAACUGAGAGUAAUACCGUAUGUGCCCUUCGGGGAAGGAUUAUCGCCAAAGGAUUAGCCCGCGUUGGAUUAGAUAGUUGGUGGGGUAAGUGGCCUACCAAGUCUACGAUCCAUAGCUGGUUUGAGAGGAUGAUCAGCAACACUGGGACUGAGACACGGCCCAGACUCCUACGGGAGGCAGCAGUGGGGGAAUCUUAGACAAUGGGCGCAAGCCUGAUCUAGCCAUGCCGCGUGGACGAUGAAGGCCUUAGGGUUGUAAAGUCCUUUCAGAUGGGAAGAUAAUGACGGUACCAUCAGAAGAAGCCCGGCUAACUCCGUGCCAGCAGCCGCGGUAAAGUAUCGUA
rnacentral:rRNA from 1 species